AACGAACGCUGGCGGCAUGCCUAACACAUGCAAGUCGAACGAGACCUUCGGUCUAGUGGCGCACGGGUGCGUAACACGUGGGAAUCUGCCCUUGGGUUCGGAAUAACAGUUGGAAACGACUGCUAAUACCGGAUGAUGACGUAAGUCCAAAGAUUUAUCGCCCGAAGGAUGAGCCCGCGUCGGAUUAGCUAGUUGGUGGGUAAAGCCUACCAAGGCGACGAUCCGUAACUGGCUGAGAGGACGACCAGUCACACCGGAACUGAGACACGGUCCGGACUCC
rnacentral:rRNA from 1 species